AUGAAUGGAGCUACAGGUGUUGUAGCUAGAGACGACCAUGGUGAGUUCAUAGGUGCAGCAUCAUGGUUUAUACCGCAGGUUCAGAGUGUGGAAUCAGCAGAAAUUGCUGCGAUCAGGAAUGGGUUGUACCUGGCUGCCAAACUUGGAUGUAGUUCAGUGAUCAUUGAGUCCGAUAGUCUGAAUGCCAUUGAAGCUAUCAACCAAGGAGAGUACUUGGGCCCGGAUGCAGCAACUGUCGCAGAAUGUAAGGCACUUGAGGUUGAACUAUCAAAACUUGAUGUGGUUCACGGCUUCCGUGAAGCCAAUGGUGUUGUUGAUAUGCUUGCGAAAAACUCCCUUUGUAAUAGCUCAUCUGGGUACUGGGAUGGUCCCAUACCGGGCUUUAUUUCUCAUCUCGUUGUACAUGAUCUUACCAUUAUAUGA
rnacentral:rRNA from 1 species